UACGGGGGGAGCAAGCGUUGUUCGGAUUUACUGGGCGUAAAGGGCGCGUAGGCGGCGUGACAAGUCACUUGUGAAAUCUCCGGGCUUAACUCGGAACGGUCAAGUGAUACUGUCGUGCUAGAGUACAGAAGGGGCAACUGGAAUUCUCGGUGUAGCGGUGAAAUGCGCAGAUAUCAGGAGGAACACCGGUGGCGAAGGCGGGUCUCUGGGCCGAAUGACUACGUGAGGAGCGAAAGCGUGGGGAGCGAACAGG
rnacentral:rRNA from 1 species